rnacentral:hammerhead_ribozyme from 1 species
GUUCAGCUGACGAGUUCCAAAUAGGACGAAACGCGUGUCCUGGAU